UACGUAGGGUGCGAGCGUUGUCCGGAAUUAUUGGGCGUAAAGGGCUCGUAGGCGGUCUGUUGCGUCGGGAGUGAAAACUCAGGGCUUAACCCUGAGCCUGCUUCCGAUACGGGCAGACUAGAGGUAUGCAGGGGAGAACGGAAUUCCUGGUGUAGCGGUGAAAUGCGUAGAUAUCAGGAGGAACACCGGUGGCGAAGGCGGUUCUCUGGGCAUUACCUGACGCUGAGGAGCGAAAGUGUGGGGAGCGAACAGG
rnacentral:rRNA from 1 species